GUACGGGAGGCAGCAGUAAGGAAUAUUGGUCAAUGGACGCAAGUCUGAACCAGCCAUGCCGCGUGAAGGAUGAAGGUCCUCUGGAUUGUAAACUUCUUUUAUAUGGGAAGAAAUCCAUCUUUUCUUGGGUGGUUGACGGUACCAUAGGAAUAAGCACCGGCUAACUCCGUGCCAGCAGCCGCGGUAAUACGGAGGGUGCAAGCGUUAUCCGGAUUCACUGGGUUUAAAGGGUGCGUAGGAGGGCAGGUAAGUCAGUGGUGAAAUCUCCAAGCUUAACUUGGAAACUGCCGUUGAUACUAUCUGUCUUGAAUACCGUGGAGGUGAGCGGAAUAUGUCAUGUAGCGGUGAAAUGCUUAGAUAUGACAUAGAACACCAAUUGCGAAGGCAGCUCGCUACACGAAUAUUGACUCUGAGGCACGAAAGCGUGGGGAUCAAACAGGAUUAGAUACCCCGGUAGU
rnacentral:rRNA from 1 species